UACCCGCUGAACUUAAGCAUAUCAAUAAGCGGAGGAAAAGAAACCAACAGGGAUUGCCCCAGUAGCGGCGAGUGAAGCGGCAAAAGCUCCAUUUUGAAAGCGCCUCGGCGCGUUGUAGAACGGUUUGGACUAAGGCGUGGGCGGCAGCUAAGUCCCCUGGAACGGGGCGCCACAGAGGGUGAGAGCCCCGUGCGCUGCCUGAAGCGCUGUAGUCUCUGCCACGGAGUCGAGUUGUUUGGGAAUGCAGCUCCAAGUGGGUGGUAAAUUCCAUCUAAGGCUAAAUACUGGCGAGAGACCGAUAGCGAACAAGUACAGUGAUGGAAAGAUGAAAAGCACUUUGAAAAGAGAGUGAAACAGUACGUGAAAUUGUUGAAAGGGAAGGGUAUUUGGCCCGACAUGGGUCCUGUGCACCGUUGCCUCUCGUGGGCGGCGCUCUGCUGGGGCCUGGGCCAGCGUCAGUUUUGGUGGGAGGAGAAAGGUUGGGUGACCCACACUGUGGCGAGCCUUAUUGGAUACUCCCUACCGGGACUGAGGACUGCCGUUGUAGGACGCUGGCACAACGGCCAAAUACCGCCCGUCUUGAAACAUGGACCAAGGAGUCUAACAUCUAUGCGAGUAUUUGGGUGUCAAACCCUCAUGCGGAAUGAAAGUGAACGUAGGUCGGACCCUUCGGGGGCACGAUCGACCGAUCCCGAUGUUUAUCGGAAGGAUUUGAGUAGGAGCAUAGCUGUUGGGACCCGAAAGAUGGUGAACUAUGCCUGAAUAGGGUGAAGCCAGAGGAAACUCUGGUGGAGGCUCGUAGCGGUUCUGACGUGCAAAUCGAUCGUCGA
rnacentral:rRNA from 1 species